AGUGAACGCUGGCGGCAGGCCUAAUACAUGCAAGUCGAACGGCAGCACAGCAGAGCUUGCUCUGUGGGUGGCGAGUGACGGACGGGUGAGGAAUACAUGGGAAUCUGCCCAGUCGUGGGGGAUAACGUAUGGAAACGUACGCUAAUACCGCAUACGCCCUGAGGGGGAAAGCGGGGGACCGAAAGGCCUCGCGCAAUACGAGCGGCCGAUGUCCGAUUAGCUAGUUGGUGAGGUAAAGGCUCACCAAGGCGACGAUCGGUAGCUGGUCUGAGAGGACGACCAGCCACACUGGGACUGAGACACGGCCCAGACUCCUACGGGAGGCAGCAGUGGGGAAUUUUGGACAAUGGGGGCGAACCCUGAUCCAGCAACGCCGCGUGAAUGAAGAAGGCCCUUGGGUUGUAAAGUUCUUUUAUAACUGAGAAGAAGUCCUAGUUUAAGAGAUAAGGAUGGAGAUAGUAAGUUAUGAAUAAGCACCGGCUAACUACG
rnacentral:rRNA from 1 species